UGCUAUCCCAAUUGGUAGAGCAUGAGACUCUUAUUCUCAUGGCCAUGGGUUCAAGACCUGCCUCGGGGAAAA